rnacentral:rRNA from 1 species
UGGGGAAUAUUGGACAAUGGGGGAAACCCUGAUCCAGCCAUGCCGCGUGAGUGAUGAAGGCCUUAGGGUUGUAAAGCUCUUUCAGUGGGGAAGAUAAUGACGGUACCCACAGAAGAAGCCCCGGCUAACUUCGUGCCAGCAGCCGCGGUAAUACGAAGGGGGCUAGCGUUGUUCGGAUUUACUGGGCGUAAAGCGCACGUAGGCGGAAUGUUAAGUCAGAGGUGAAAUCCUGGAGCUCAACUCCAGAACUGCCUUUGAUACUGGCAAUCUAGAGUCCGAGAGAGGUGAGUGGAACUCCUAGUGUAGAGGUGGAAUUCGUAGAUAUUAGGAAGAACACCAGUGGCGAAGGCGGCUCACUGGCUCGGUACUGACGCUGAGGUGCGAAAGCGUGGGGAGCAAACAGG